GAUGAACGCUAGCGGGAGGCUUAACACAUGCAAGUCGAGGGGCAGCAUAGAGUAGCAAUACUUUGAUGGCGACCGGCGCACGGGUGAGUAACGCGUAUGUAACCUACCCUGUACAGGGGGAUAGCCCGGAGAAAUUCGGAUUAAUACCCCAUAAUGAUAUCGAGAGGCAUCUUUUGAUAUUUAAAGCUUCGGCGGUACGGGAGGGGCAUGCGUGACAUUAGCUAGUUGGUAAGGUAACGGUUUACCAAGGCUGCGAUGUCUAGGGGUCCUGAGAGGGUGAUCCCCCACACUGGUACUGAGACACGGACCAGACUCCUACGGGAGGCAGCAGUGAGGAAUAUUGGUCAAUGGGCGUAAGCCUGAACCAGCCAUCCCGCGUGAAGGAAGAAGGCGCUAUGCGUCGUAAACUUCUUUUCCAGAGGAAUAAAAUUUUGUACGCGUACAGAACUGAAGGUACUCUGGGAAUAAGCAUCGGCUAACUCCGUGCCAGCCGCCGCUGUAAUAC
rnacentral:rRNA from 1 species